GGCGGCGUGCUUACACAUGCAAGUCGAACGAUGAACCACUUCGGUGGGGAUUAGUGGCGAACGGGUGAGUAACACGUGGGCAAUCUGCCCUUCACUCUGGGACAAGCCCUGGAAACGGGGUCUAAUACCGGAUACGACACUCUCGGGCAUCCGAUGAGUGUGGAAAGCUCCGGCGGUGAAGGAUGAGCCCGCGGCCUAUCAGCUUGUUGGUGAGGUAACGGCUCACCAAGGCGACGACGGGUAGCCGGCCUGAGAGGGCGACCGGCCACACUGGGACUGAGACACGGCCCAGACUCCUACGGGAGGCAGCAGUGGGGAAUAUUGCACAAUGGGCGAAAGCCUGAUGCAGCGACGCCGCGUGAGGGAUGACGGCCUUCGGGUUGUAAACCUCUUUCAGCAGGGAAGAAGCGAAAGUGACGGUACCUGCAGAAGAAGCGCCGGCUAACUACGUGCCAGCAGCCGCGGUAAUACGUAGGGCGCGAGCGUUGUCCGGGAAUUAUUGGGCGUAAAGAGCUCGUAGGCGGUCUGUCGCGUCGGAUGUGAAAGCCCGGGGCUUAACCCCGGGUCUGCAUUCGAUACGGGCAGACUAGAGUGUGGUAGGGGAGAUCGGAAUUCCUGGUGUAGCGGUGAAAUGCGCAGAUAUCAGGAGGAACACCGGUGGCGAAGGCGGAUCUCUGGGCCAUUACUGACGCUGAGGAGCGAAAGCGUGGGGAGCGAACAGGAUUAGAUACCCUGGUAGUCCACGCCGUAAACGGUGGGAACUAGGUGUUGGCGACAUUCCACGUCGUCGGUGCCGCAGCUAACGCAUUAAGUUCCCCGCCUGGGGAGUACGGCCGCAAGGCUAAAACUCAAUGGAAUUGACGGGGGCCCGCACAAGCAGCGGAGCAUGUGGCCUUAGUUCGACGCAACGCGAAGAACCUUACCAAGGCUUGACAUACACCGGAAACGGCCAGAGAUGGUCGCCCCCUUGUGGUCGGUGUACAGGUGGUGCAUGGCUGUCGUCAGCUCGUGUCGUGAGAUGUUGGGUUAAGUCCCGCAACGAGCGCAACCCUUGUUCUGUGUUGCCAGCAUGCCCUUCGGGGUGAUGGGGACUCACAGGAGACUGCCGGGGUCAACUCGGAGGAAGGUGGGGACGACGUCAAGUCAUCAUGCCCCUUAUGUCUUGGGCUGCACACGUGCUACAAUGGCAGGUACAAUGAGCUGCGAAGCCGUGAGGCGGAGCGAAUCUCAAAAAGCCUGUCUCAGUUCGGAUUGGGGUCUGCAACUCGACCCCAUGAAGUCGGAGUUGCUAGUAAUCGCAGAUCAGCAUUGCUGCGGUGAAUACGUUCCCGGGCCUUGUACACACCGCCCGUCACGUCACGAAAGUCGGUAACACCCGAAGCCGGUGGCCCAACCCGUAAGGGAGGGAGCUGUCGAAGGUGGGACUGGCGAUUGGGACGAAGUCGUAACAAG
rnacentral:rRNA from 1 species